UUACCUUAACGGGAGUCGGGGAUGAUGUUUCUGGUGUUAUGCCGGCGUUUCGGGUGCGCCACAUCAUCGUUAACGCGGUUUUAGCGACCCAUACCACAUGGUGUAAGUUUGGGUUUAUUUUUUUUUAUUAUUUUUUUAGUCGAUUAUUUAGAUAGUUCUGUAGACUGGACCUGCUAUUCUACUCAACUGCAUACAACCGUUCCAUUUACCAUCUCGCGCCUCUCUUCCUCUCAGUAGUUCCCUUUACUCGUUCUUCAUCUCUCCCCUUCCUCUACAAAACGAUAUUAAAAAUGCGAUUUAGCUCCACCGCUCCUCUCGUUGUACCGAUUUUGACAAGAUUGGUACCGACGAAAUCAGAAGAAACACAAGCAUCCAAAACAACAGCAAUCAAGUUCUUGCGUUCAAGUGGGUUUCAGACCUCACAGAUGAUGAUUUUUGGUGAAAAACAACAGCAAAUUUCUUUCUUGCGCCUUUCCUCCCGACUAUAUUAGCCCCUUCUUUCCUCUCUUCACGGAUUUCUUCCCUCCUCACAACUAUGAAGCUAAAAAGCCCUAAUUUUGGCAAACGGGCAUCUCUAUUUCCUUCUUCCUUUAUCUCAUGAUUUCUCAAGAAUUCAUACAAAGCAACUAGGGUGAUUUUAUCUAUGCAGUAGAGGUGUCGCAAUAGUUAAUGAUCACUUUCUAUCAUCUACGUUUAUAUGCUGCUUUUUUGUAAAAUUAUUGGUUACAAGCUUCUGUUUAACCAUCAUUGCUCCUCCACAAGAAGCAUGCGAGUUCUAUUCAGAAAGAUUGGGAUUGCGUAGUGGAUAUUCAUGAAAGCUUAAAUCUUUGGAAGGCACAACUUUUGAAUCCCCAGUUAUAACUAUUAUCUUUAUGUUUCGAAGGAGGUUAGGUUAGUAAAUGACUAGAUGUGUGUUAUAGAUUACUCCUUGGUUUACUACUACUACUACUCAAAAAAUAGAAUAAAUCACUUAAUUAUCCGAACCCACAACAAUUUAGUUAUUUUGGUGUUGCCCCUCCUGGAAUAGCUAAACUACAAAAGAUUAUGGUUUUUCUUAUAUUUUAGUUAGCUUUUGUCCGUGUAAAAAAGCUUUGCAUCUUUGAGACAUUUUUAUAUUUUGGAAGCAUCAUAAAAUGUAAUUCAGUUUAAUGAUAUGAAGUAAUAGUAAGUUCUAUUAAUAACU